GACGAACGCUGGCGGCGUGCCUAAUACAUGCAAGUAGAACGCUGAAGGAGGAGCUUGCUCUUCUGGAUGAGUUGCGAACGGGUGAGUAACGCGUAGGUAACCUGCCUGGUAGCGGGGGAUAACUAUUGGAAACGAUAGCUAAUACCGCAUAACAGUAGAUGUUGCAUGACAUUUGCUUAAAAGGUGCAAUUGCACCACUACCAGAUGGACCUGCGUUGUAUUAGCUAGUUGGUGGGGUAACGGCUCACCAAGGCGACGAGACAUAGCCGACCUGAGAGGGUGAUCGGCCACACUGGGACUGAGACACGGCCCAGACUCCUACGGGAGGCAGCAGUAGGGAAUCUUCGGCAAUAGACGGAAGUCUGACCGAGCAACGCCGCGUGAGUGAAGAAGGUUUUCGGAUCGUAAAGCUCUGUUGUAAGAGAAGAACGAGUGUGAGAGUGGAAAGUUCACACUGUGACGGUAUCUUACCAGAAAGGGACGGCUAACUACGUG
rnacentral:rRNA from 1 species